rnacentral:rRNA from 2 species
UGAUUUAUUUAAUGGCCGCGGUAUUUUGACCGUGCGAAGGUAGCGUAAUCAUUAGCCUAUUAAUUGUGGGAUUGUAUGAAUGGUUUGACGAAAUAUUAACUGUCUCUAUUUAAUUGUUUAUAAUUUAAUUUUUUAGUUAAAAAGCUUAAAUUUUUUUAAAGGACGAGAAGACCCUGUAGAUCUUUAUUUUUAUUCUUUAUAUUUUAUUUUGGUUUAUUUAUUUAUGUCUAUAUUAAUUGUUUUGUUGGGGUGAUAUUGGGAUAUAAUUAACUCUUUUUUUUUUAAUUCAUUUAUUUUUGUUUAUAUGAUCUUUUAUUAUUGCUUAUAAGAAUAAGAUACCUUAGGGAUAACAGCGUAAUUCUCUUUAAGAGUUCAUAUUGACGAUGGAGUUUGCGACCUCGAUGUUGAAUUAAGAUUAUUUUUGGGUGAAGUGGCUUAUUUAUUAAGUCUGUUCGACUUUUAAUAUCUUACAUGAUCUGAGUCCAAA